GAGGUGAUAGCUCAGUGGCAGAGCACAUGCUUAGCAUGCACGAGGUCCUGGGUUCCAUCCCCAGAGCCUCC
rnacentral:tRNA from 1 species